AUUGAACGCUGGCGGCAUGCCUUACACAUGCAAGUCGAACGGUAACAGGUCUUCGGAUGCUGACGAGUGGCGAACGGGUGAGUAAUACAUCGGAACGUGCCUAGUAGUGGGGGAUAACUACUCGAAAGAGUGGCUAAUACCGCAUGAGAUCUACGGAUGAAAGCAGGGGAUCGCAAGACCUUGUGCUACUAGAGCGGCCGAUGGCAGAUUAGGUAGUUGGUGGGAUAAAAGCUUACCAAGCCGACGAUCUGUAGCUGGUCUGAGAGGACGAUCAGCCAAACUGGGACUGAGACACGGCCCAGACUCCUACGGGAGGCAGCAGUGGGGAAUUUCGGACAAUGGGCGAAAGCCUGAUCCAGCAAUGCCGCGUGCAGGAUGAAGGCCUUCGGGUUGUAAACUGCUUUUGUACGGAACGAAAAGCCCUGGGUUAAUACCCUGGGGUCAUGACGGUACCGUAAGAAUAAGCACCGGCUAACUACGUGCCAGCCGCCGCCGUAAAAC
rnacentral:rRNA from 1 species